rnacentral:piRNA from 1 species
UGGAAAACCCUACUCCGGAUGGCAGG